rnacentral:rRNA from 1 species
AUGAACGCUGGCGGCGUGCCUAAUACAUGCAAGUCGAGCGAACAGACGAGGAGCUUGCUCCUCUGACGUUAGCGGCGGACGGGUGAGUAACACGUGGAUAACCUACCUAUAAGACUGGGAUAACUUCGGGAAACCGGAGCUAAUACCGGAUAAUAUAUUGAACCGCAUGGUUCAAUAGUGAAAGACGGUUUUGCUGUCACUUAUAGAUGGAUCCGCGCCGCAUUAGCUAGUUGGUAAGGUAACGGCUUACCAAGGCAACGAUGCGUAGCCGACCUGAGAGGGUGAUCGGCCACACUGGAACUGAGACACGGUCCAGACUCCUACGGGAGGCAGCAGUAGGGAAUCUUCCGCGAUGGGCGAAAGCCUGACGGAGCAACGCCGCGUGAGUGAUGAAGGUCUUCGGAUCGUAAAACUCUGUUAUUAGGGAAGAACAAAUGUGUAAGUAACUAUGCACGUCUUGACGGUACCUAAUCAGAAAGCCACGGCUAACUACGUG